GAAAUGCGAUACGUAGUGUGAAUUGCAGAAUUCAGUGAAUCAUCGAAACCUUGAACGCACCUUGCGCCUGUGGUCACCCACAGGCAUACCUGUUUGAGUGUCGUUUUUCUAUUCUCACAAACAAACCCACCUUCAGUGGAUGGAUUCGGGAGUGGAAUUGGCCGUUUUUCUGCCUGGCAGGAAAUCGACUUAAAAGCAGUGGGGACCUGGUGGAGCCGCCAUCCACCCUGCGAUCCGCAACUCUGGAAUGUUUCUAAUCGUGCUUCGCAUGAAAGUACAUCUCUGGACUGCACCAAGGACCGUGGGAGGUGACGACUCUUUCAGCCCUGAUGGAAGGACUUCCCACAAACGAAGUCAAGAAUCAUUCAAAACUGCGACCUCAGAUCAGGUAAGAUUACCC
rnacentral:misc_RNA from 1 species